GGAUGGGUGGCCGAGUGGUCGAAGGCGACAGUCUUGAAAACUGUUGUACCCUUGCGGGUACCGUGGGUUCGAAUCCCUCCCCAUCCG
rnacentral:tRNA from 1 species